UGCUAGCUACAGGUAGAUCGAGCCUGCGCUCAGUCGUCGUAGCAAGGUAGAGUUGUUCGUGGCUGCAGUCAGUCGGAGGWAGGUAGGGAGAGUUUGUGUCUGAGUCAGUCCGUCGAAGGAAGAUAGGGUCUGAUAGUGGAUGGGAACGUCCACCGCAUGGAGGGUGUUGGAAAGAUUUAUCGGUCAUGGAUGGACUCGCGGCCUAUCAUCUUGUUGGUGAGGUAAUGGCUCACCAAGGCGACGACGGGUAGCCGGCCUGAGAGGGUGACCGGCCACACUGGGACUGAGACACGGCCCAGACUCCUACGGGAGGCAGCAGUGGGGAAUAUUGCACAAUGGGGGAARGCCUGAUGCAGCGACGCCGCGUGAGGGAUGACGGCCUUCGGGUUGUAAACCUCUUUCAGUAGGGAAGAAGCGAAAGUGACGGUACCUGCAGAAGAAGCACCGGCUAACUACGUGUCUUCUGCCGCGGUAAUACUUAUGGUGCGAGCGUUAUCCGGAAUUAUUGGGCGUAAAGAGCUCGUAGGCGGUUUGUCGCGUCUGUCGUGAAAGUCCAGGGCUUAACCCCGGAUCUGCGGUGGGUACGGGCAGACUAGAGUGCAGUAGGCGAGACUGGAAUUCCUGGUGUAGCGGUGGAAAUGCGCAGAUAUCAUGUGUAACACCGAUGGCGAAGGCAGGUCUCUGGGCUGUAACUGACGCUGAGGAGCGAAAGCAUGGGGAGCGAACAGGAUUAGAUACCCUGAUAGUCCAUGCCGUAAACGUUGGGCACUAGGUGUGGGGACCAUUCCCACGGUUUCCGCGCCGCAGCUAACGCAUUAAGUGCCCCGCCUGGGAGUACGGCGCAAGGCUAAAACUCAAAGGAAUUGACGGGGCCCCGCACAAGCCGCGGAGCAUGCGGAUUAAUUCGA
rnacentral:rRNA from 1 species